rnacentral:rRNA from 1 species
AGAAUCAACGCUGGCGGCGUGCCUAAUACAUGCAAGUCGUACGCGAAGACCCCGCAAGGGGUUUGUAGCGUGGCAAACGGGUGAGUAACGCGUGGGCGACCUACCCUUGAGUGGGGGAUAACCUUCCGAAAGGAGGGCUAAUACCGCAUGACAUGCCUCGUUUAGAUACGAGGACAUCAAAGCCGGGGAUCGCAAGACCUGGCGCUUGAAGAGGGGCCUACGUCCGAUUAGCUAGUUGGUGGGGUAAUGGCUCACCAAGGCGACGAUCGGUA